AAAAAUUAACCGGGCGCGGUGGUGCACGCCUGUAGUCCCAGCUACUCAGGAGGCUGAGACAGGAGAAUAGCUUGAACCAGGGAGGCAGAGAUAGCAGUGUGUCGAGAUCAAGCCACUGUACUCCAGCCUGGGCGACAAAGUAAGAGUCUCAAAAAAAAAAAAA